CAGUGAGCGCACAGAAGGGAGCUUGCUCCCGGAAGUGAGCGGCGGAUGGGUGAGUAACACGUGGGCAACCUGCCUGAAAGUCGGGGAUAACUCCGGGAAACGGGAGCUAAUACCGGAUAAUCGCCUGCACCGCAUGGUGCAGGUGUGAAAGAUGGUUUCGGCCAUCACUUUCAGAUGGGCCCGCGGUGCAUUAGUUAGUUGGCGGGGCAACGGCCCACCAAGACCACGAUGCAUAGCCGACCUGAGAGGGUGAUCGGCCACAUUGGGACUGAGACACGGCCCAAACUCCUACGGGAGGCAGCAGUAGGGAAUCUUCCACAAUGGACGAAAGUCUGAUGGAGCAACGCCGCGUGAGCGAAGAAGGUUUUCGGAUCGUAAAGCUCUGUUGCCGGAGAAGAACGGACGGGAGAGGAAAUGCUCCUGUCGUGACGGUAUCCGGCCAGAAAGCCACGGCUAACUACGUGCCAGCAGCCGCGGUAAUACGUAGGUGGCAAGCGUUGUCCGGAAUUAUUGGGCGUAAAGCGCGCGCAGGCGGUUUCUUAAGUCUGAUGUGAAAUCUUGCGGCUCAACCGCAAGCGGCCAUUGGAAACUGGGAAGCUUGAGUACAGAAGAGGAGAGUAGAAUUCCACGUGUAGCGGUGAAAUGCGUAGAGAUGUGGAGGAAUACCGGUGGCGAAGGCGGCUCUCUGGUCUGUUACUGACGCUGAGGUGCGAAAGCGUGGGGGAGCAAACAGGAUUAGAUACCCUGGUAGUCCACGCUGUAAACGAUGAAUGCUAGGUGUUAGGGGGGUCCAACCCCUUAGUGCUGCAGUUAACACAUUAAGCAUUCCGCCUGGGAAGUACGACCGCAAGGUUGANCUCAAAGGAAUUGACGGGGGCCCGCACAAGCAGUGGAGCAUGUGGUUUAAUUCGAAGCAACGCGAAGAACCUUACCAGGUCUUGACAUCCUUCGACCGCCUGAGAGAUCAGGCUUUCCCCUUCGGGGGACGGAGUGACAGGUGGUGCAUGGUUGUCGUCAGCUCGUGUCGUGAGAUGUUGGGUUAAGUCCCGCAACGAGCGCAACCCUUGAUCCCAGUUGCCAGCAUUCAGUUGGGCACUCUGGGGUGACUGCCGGUGACAAACCGGAGGAAGGUGGGGAUGACGUCAAAUCAUCAUGCCCCUUAUGAUCUGGGCUACACACGUGCUACAAUGGGCGGUACAAAGGGCUGCGAGACCGCGAGGUCAAGCCAAUCCCAUAAAGCCGCCCCCAGUUCGGAUUGCAGGCUGCAACCCGCCUGCAUGAAGCCGGAAUUGCUAGUAAUCGCGGAUCAGCAUGCCGCGGUGAAUCCGUUCCCGGGCCUUGUACACACCGCCCGUCACACCACGAGAGUCGGUAACACCCGAAGUCGGUGCGGGAACCUUUAUGGACCCA
rnacentral:rRNA from 1 species